GCCGACACAUGUUGCUUAACAUUCGAUGGAAGUCGUAGAAGUAUAUCAGUCGCGGAAUGUUCGCCAUUAUCCACGGUACGACUGAAACUCGGGGAGCAAAGGGGCACAUUCGUAUGCUAGGGGAGCGUUGCAGCCCGCUGCUAUUGGCUGAGAAAACGCUUUUACAAGCUGCAGCGAGAGGCCGUCGUCCAGUAUCUUUCGCCAACGAACGAGCUCUUAACCGUAGAUACGAAACACCCG